rnacentral:rRNA from 1 species
AGUUAGUACCGAAGUCCGGGAUGGAAGAUGGCGAGAAAAGCUGUGUGUAUUUCUGCGGUGCCCGUACCGCAAACCGACACAGGUAGGUAGGAAGAAGAUUCUAAGGCCAACGGGAGAAGGGUUGUUAAGGAACUCGGCAAAUUGACCCCGUAACUUCGGGAGAAGGGGUGCUCCAGAGAUGGAGCCGCAGAGAAUCGGCCCAAGCAACUGUUUACCAAAAACACAGGUUUGUGCUAAAUCGAAAGAUGACGUAUACGAGCUGACGCCUGCCCGGUGCUGGAAGGUUAAGAGGAGAUGUGCGAGCAUUGAAUCGAAGCCCCAGUGAACGGCGGCCGUAACAAUAACGGUCCUAAGGUAGCGAAAUUCCUUGUCAGGUAAGUUCUGACCCGCAUGAAAGGCGUAAUGAUUUGGGCACUGUCUCGACAGCCCGCCCGGCGAAAUUGUAGUACCGGUGAAGAUGCCGGUUACCCGCGACAAGACGGAAAGACCCCAUGGAGCUUUACUGUAGCCUAAUAUUGGGUUUCGAUGUUGCAUGCACAGGAUAGAUGGGACACUGGGAAGCAAGUGCUUUGGCAUUUGUGGAGUGGCCGUUGGGAUACCAUCCUUGCGAUAUUGGAAUUCUAACCUGCGCCUUUGAAUCAAGGCGGGGGACAUUGUUAGGUGGGCAGUUUGACUGGGGCGGUCGCCUCCUAAAGAGUAACGGAGGCGUUCAAAGGUUCGCUCAGCUUGAACGGAAAUCAAGCAAAAGAGUGCAAACGCAGAAGCGAGCCUAACUGCGAGACUGACGGGUCGAGCAGUAACGAAAGUUGGAGUUAGUGAUCCGGUGGUAUGUGAGUGGAAAUGCCAUCGCUCAACGGAUAAAAGUUACCCUGGGGAUAACAGGCUGAUCUCCCCCAAGAGUCCACAUCGACGGGGAGGUUUGGCACCUCGAUGUCGGCUCAUCGCAUCCUGGGGCUGUAUUCGGUCCCAAGGGUUUGGCUGUUCGCCAAUUAAAGCGGUACGCGAGCUGGGUUCAGAACGUCGUGAGACAGUUCGGUCCCUAUCUGUCGUGGGCGCAGGAUAUUUGAUGGGAGCUGUUCCUAGUACGAGAGGACCGGAGCGGACGUACCUCUGGCGCACCAGUUGUUCUGCCAAGGGCAUAGCUGGGCAACUAUGUACGGAUCGGAUAAACGCUGAAAGCAUCUAAGCGUGAAGCCGACCCAAAGAUAAGAUAUCCCAUUGUUUCAAACAAGUAAGACCCCUUGAAGACUACAAGGUUGAUAGGCAUGAUGUGUAAGUGGAGUGAUCCAUUCAGCAAGCAUGUACUAAUAGGUCGAGGGCUUGACC